CCUACGGGAGGCUGCAGUGAGGAAUAUUGGUCAAUGGGCGCGAGCCUGAACCAGCCAAGUCGCGUGAGGGAGGACGGCCCUACGGGUUGUAAACCUCUUUUGCCGGGGAGCAACGGGCGCCACGUGUGGCGCCACUGAGAGUACCCGGAGAAAAAGCAUCGGCUAACUCCGUGCCAGCAGCCGCGGUAAUACGGAGGAUGCGAGCGUUAUCCGGAUUUAUUGGGUUUAAAGGGUGCGUAGGCGGAUCGUUAAGUCAGUGGUCAAAUUGAGGGGCUCAACCCCUUCCCGCCAUUGAAACUGGCGAUCUUGAGUGGAAGAGAAGUAGGCGGAAUGCGUGGUGGAGCGGUGAAAUGCAUAGAUAUCACGCAGAACCCCGAUUGCGAAGGCAGCAUGCCGGCUUCCGACUGACGCUGAAGCACGAAAGCGUGGGGAUCGAACAGGAUUAGAUACCCUAGUAGUC
rnacentral:rRNA from 1 species